rnacentral:tRNA from 12 species
GCGCGAGUGGUGAAAUUGGCAGACACGCAGGAUUUAGGUUCCUGUGCCUUCGGGCGUGGGGGUUCAAGUCCCCCCUUGCGCACAA